rfam:Salmo salar isolate Sally breed double haploid chromosome ssa16, whole genome shotgun sequence.
GUCCCUGUAGCUCAGUUGGUAGAGCAUGGUGUUUGCAACACCAGGGUUGUGGGUUCGAUUCCCACGGGGGGCC